CGAAACGAUUUGACUUCGCUGUGAACUGCAGAGAUGGAGAUAUACGACAGCAGAUAUUUUAUAAUAAACAAGACACUGAUGACGAAGAUGGGACUGUGGCCUUAUCAGCAUCCUUUGAAGAAGUUUCUCGUGCGUACUUUCCUGGUGGUAUUCAUUUUUGUCUCGUCGAUGCCUCAACUGUACGGGCUGAAGAAGAACUUCGGCGUCCACAUGGACAAAAUCAUCGAGCAUCUGGCUCUACUGAUGUAUAUUUACGGGAUCAAGCUGAAGCUGGUCACGUCGAUCCUGUCGGAGAAGAAGUUGAAAAAGGUAUACGAAAACAUAAUGGAGAACUGGCAACAAAUCAAGGACGUGCACGAGAGGGCGAUUCUCGUCGAAUAUUCCGAGAGGGGAAGGACGCUCACUAUCGGAUACAUAAUGUACAUGACAUCAGCCCUGUUGUUCUUCAUAAUUCUCCCGAUAACGCCGAUGGUGCUGAACGUGAUCAAGCCUCUGAACGAGUCUCGUCCCUGGGACUUCAUAAUGCACGGCGAAUUUCCAGUCAACGACAUGCACGCGCACUACGGCGAGAUCUACCUCUUCGACUCCCUGGCCUGCAUUGCCACCGUCCUGGUCUUCUGCACCGUCGACUCCAUGUACGCGACUUGCAUCGAGCACUGCAUUGGACUGUUCGCCAUCGUCAAGUCUCGGCUGGACUUGUCGACCAAGUUCGUCAAUCGACAAGGCGCUCUGGGAAUCAAGCGAGAUGACAAGGUGUACGAUCUCAUCGUCAAGACGAUAAAGCUGCAUAAGAAAAUCAUAAAUUUUACGCACAUCCUGGAAUCGUCUUACUCCACUUCGUUCCUCAUUCUUAUGGGUAUGAACAUGCUCUACUGUAGCCUCGUGUCGGUUCUCCAUAUAAUUUCAGCUGAUCAUCAAAAGCGACGCGUUAAUGGAACGCAUAAGAUACGGCACAAUCCUUUUGGGUCUGCUGAUACACCUGUUCUACAUCAGUUGGCCAGGACAGAAGAUCAUAGAUCUCAGUACUGGGCUUUUCGAAGACGCGUACUCUAACGAGUGGUACGAAACGUCGAUAAGGUCCCAGAACCUGUUGAAAUUCAUGAGACUCAGGUGCCUGACUCCUUGCCAGUUGACAGCUGGUGGUAUUUACGUGAUGAAUUUCGCCAAUUUCGCAUCGAUCAUCAAAACGUCAACGUCGUACAUCACAGUUUUCGCAUCGUUCACUUAAGACUUUAUAUAUUAAACAAGAAUUAAAAAUCUCAUAUAGCAUUUAUUGUAUAAAUUGUCAUUGUACAGCUCAAUAAACGUAAUUC